ensembl:lncRNA
CCUGCAUCUGCGUUACCUGGAAAUCUGAGCCCCAGGUCUGCAGAGCUGGACGCUGGGCAGGGGGGCUGGGUGCUGGUGUUGGACAUCGGGGUGGGGGGCCUUGAGCAGAGGGAGGGAGCGGCAGCACCAGGAACCCUCUUUUGUCUUGCUCUUAGAUCACUGGUCCUAUAAAAUUAACCUGCAUGUUAUUUUGAAUUUUUUUCCAUUCUUUAAAAUUGUAUUGAAGUAGAGUUGAUUUACAGGGUUGUGAUAAUUCUGCUGCACAACAAGGUGCAUCCGUUAUACGUGUGUGCCCACAUCCCUUCUUUUCCAGGCUCUUUUCCUGAACGCUGGGUGGCGUUCCCUGUGCUGUACGGCAGGUCCCCGUCGCCCCUGCCUUCCGUGGAGAGAGAUUCUGGGGAACCGUGGCUAGGACGAGACGGAUCUGCAGACGCCUCGCCUCUCGGGAGCCCGUUCCCCUUCUGUCCUCUCGGAGGUCCCCGGUGCCACCUCCCGGAAGUAGCUCUGAUCUGCUCGGGGUCACUGAAGACUCCUGUCGCUGGUUCUGGAACGUGACGUCAAGGGAACGAUCUGAGAGGAAACCUCACGUCCUGCCCUCCUUUCACCCCGAGUACGUCUGGGUUCCUCCACGCGGCUGCGAGUACCGACCUGGUUCCUCCCUCGGCUUCGAUGGUCCCCCUGCCCACCUCCCAGCCGUGGGCGUUUGCUCGUCCGCUCACCGGCCGGAGGCACAUGGGCUGCUGUGGACAGAACUGAUCCUCUGGGACCCAGUCCUGCGGGACGACGUUUCUGUUCCUCUUGGGUAAGGACAUGGCCGGGAGUGAGUCCUGGCCCAGCGGGCACAGGGGAGCUGGGGGAGGGCACAGGGGAGCUGGGGGAGGGCCCAGGGGAGCUGGGGAAGGCCACAGUUCUCCAAA